rfam:Citrus clementina cultivar Clemenules unplaced genomic scaffold scaffold_9, whole genome shotgun sequence.
GUUGAGGGGAAUGCUGUCUGGUUCGAGACCAUUCAUUUGAAGAAUAGAAAAUCAUCUGAAUGAUCUCGGACCAGGCUUCAUUCCCCCCAAC